UACAGAGGUCUCAAGCGUUGUUCGGAUUUAUUGGGCGUAAAGGGUGCGUAGGCGGUGGGGUAAGUUAGGUGUGAAAUGCCACAGCUCAACUGUGGCCAGCACUUAAUACUGCCUCGCUAGAGCACUAGAGAGGAGGCUGGAAUUUACGGUGUAGCAGUGAAAUGCGUAGAUAUCGUAAGGAACACCAGUUGCGAAAGCUGGCCUCUGGAUAGUAUGCUGACGCUGAGGCACGAAAGCUGGGGGAGCAAACGGG
rnacentral:rRNA from 1 species